rnacentral:rRNA from 1 species
UACGAGGGGUGCAAACGUUGCUCGGAAUCAUUGGGCGUAAAGCGCACGUAGGCGGCUAUAUAAGUCGGAUGUGAAAGCCCUCGGCUCAACCAAGGAAGUGCAUUCGAAACUGUAUAGCUUGAGUACUAAAGAGGAUCGCGGAAUUCCCGGUGUAGAGGUGAAAUUCGUAGAUAUCGGGAGGAACACCAGUGGCGAAGGCGGCGAUCUGGGUAGUUACUGACGCUGAGGUGCGAAAGCGUGGGGAGCAAACAGG